GAGAGUAUAGCUCAGUGGUAGAGUGCAUGCUUAGCAAGCCAUGAGGUCCUGGGUUCAAUCCCCAGUGCCUCCA
rnacentral:tRNA from 1 species